GACGAACGCUGGCGGCGUGCUUAACACAUGCAAGUCGAACGGAAAGGCCCUGCUUUUGUGGGGUGCUCGAGUGGCGAACGGGUGAGUAACACGUGAGUAACCUGCCCUUGACUUUGGGAUAACUUCAGGAAACUGGGGCUAAUACCGGAUAGGAGCUCCUGCUGCAUGGUGGGGGUUGGAAAGUUUCGGCGGUUGGGGAUGGACUCGCGGCUUAUCAGCUUGUUGGUGGGGUAGUGGCUUACCAAGGCUUUGACGGGUAGCCGGCCUGAGAGGGUGACCGGCCACAUUGGGACUGAGACACGGCCCCGACUCCUACGGGAGGCAGCAGUGGGGAAUAUUGCACAAUGGGCGGAAGCCUGAUGCAGCAACGCCGCGGGCGGGAUGACGGCCUUCGGGUUGUAAACCGCUUUCGCCUGUGACGAAGCGUGAGUGACGGUAAUGGGUAAAGAAGCACCGGCUAACUACGUG
rnacentral:rRNA from 1 species